CUCAUGGACUGUAGCUAGCCAGCCUCCUCUGUCCAUGGGAUUUCCCAGGCAAGAAUCGUGGAGUAGGUUGCCAUUUCCUUCUCCAGGGGAUCUUCCUGACCCAGGGAUUGAAGCCGUGUCUCCUGUUUGGCAAGGAGAUUCUUUACCACCGAGCCACUUGGGAAGCCCAGGAACAAAGGCUCUGACCCUGGAAAUGCUCAGCUGGGAACUGAUGUGUCUGUUGUGAUGUCUGGAGGGACCACAGCUGGGUAACAUCACCAUGCCUGUGUAUGAGAAGGAAUGAUUUGCCCUCUUCCUUCUCACUCCAUCUGAUGCUCACUAAUGAGGUCCAGAGGUUUGAUCCUGCAGAGCCCAUCUCUCCCACAGCGGAGGGAAGGACAUUUGGUGCAAUGAUAAACUGCCCUCACUCAAGCUAUACAGACAGAAAGAUAUUAAAUGGAUGUAGUUAAACAAAAAAGCAAACAAAUUAUAGUUGACAUCAGAGUACCCCUUUCCUAGGUUACUCUGAUGGCAUAUCCUGCCACUUAUUAGAUUUUUGCUAAGGAAACUUCCGCUUGUGUUAAUUAACAAAAUAUUUAUCUACAAGAAUGAGACGG
rnacentral:lncRNA from 1 species